AAUGAACGCUGGCGGCAGGCUUAACACAUGCAAGUCGAGCGAGCGGCGGAGGGGUGAGUAAUGUCUGGGAAACUGCCUUAUGGAGGGGGAUACCUACUGGAACCGGUGGCUAAUACCGCAUACCUUUAGCUGUGCCCAGAUGGGUUUCGCUAGUAGGUGGGGUAAUGGCUCACCUAGUCGACGAUCCCUAGCUGGUCUGAGAGGAUGACCAGCCACACUGGAACUGAGACACGGUCCAGACGCCUACGGGAGGCAGCAGUGGGGAAUAUUGCACAAUGGGCGCAAGCCUGAUGCAGCCAUGCCGCGUGUGUGAAGAAGGCCUUCGGGUUGUAAAGCACUUUCAGCGAGGAGGCGUUACUCGCAGAAGAAGCACCGGCUAACUCCGUGCCAGCAGCCGCGGUAAUAC
rnacentral:rRNA from 1 species